rnacentral:rRNA from 1 species
GACAGAGGGUGCAAACGUUGCUCGGAAUUACUGGGCGUAAAGCGCGUGUAGGCGGACCUUCAAGUCGGACGUGAAAGCCCUAAGCUCAACUUAGGAACUGCAUCCGAAACUGAAGGCCUAGAGUAGUGGAGAGGAAAGCAGAAUUCCUGGUGUAGAGGUGAAAUUCGUAGAUAUCAGGAGGAACACCGGUGGCGAAGGCGGCUUUCUGGACACUUACUGACGCUGAGACGCGAAAGCGUGGGGAGCAAACAGG